GCGGCGCGCCUAACACAUGCAAGUCGAACGAUCGAGAGAGAGCUUGCUUUCUCGAGCGAGUGGCGAACGGGUGAGUAACGCGUGAGGAACCUGCCUCAAAGAGGGGGACAACAGUUGGAAACGACUGCUAAUACCGCAUAAGCCCACGGCUCGGCAUCGAGCAGAGGGAAAAGGAGCAAUCCGCUUUGAGAUGGCCUCGCGUCCGAUUAGCUAGUUGGUGAGGUAACGGCCCACCAAGGCGACGAUCGGUAGCCGGACUGAGAGGUUGAACGGCCACAUUGGGACUGAGACACGGCCCAGACUCCUACGGGAGGCAGCAGUGGGGAAUAUUGCACAAUGGGGGAAACCCUGAUGCAGCGACGCCGCGUGGAGGAAGAAGGUCUUCGGAUUGUAAACUCCUGUUGUUGGGGAAGAUAAUGACGGUACCCAACAAGGAAGUGACGGCUAACUACGUGCCAGCAGCCGCGGUAAAACGUAGGUCACAAGCGUUGUCCGGAAUUACUGGGUGUAAAGGGAGCGCAGGCGGGAAGACAAGUUGGAAGUGAAAUCUAUGGGCUCAACCCAUAAACUGCUUUCAAAACUGUUUUUCUUGAGUAGUGCAGAGGUAGGCGGAAUUCCCGGUGUAGCGGUGGAAUGCGUAGAUAUCGGGAGGAACACCAGUGGCGAAGGCGGCCUACUGGGCACCAACUGACGCUGAGGCUCGAAAGUGUGGGUAGCAAACAGGAUUAGAUACCCUGGUAGUCCACACCGUAAACGAUGAUUACUAGGUGUUGGAGGAUUGACCCCUUCAGUGCCGCAGUUAACACAAUAAGUAAUCCACCUGGGGAGUACGACCGCAAGGUUGAAACUCAAAGGAAUUGACGGGGGCCCGCACAAGCAGUGGAGUAUGUGGUUUAAUUCGACGCAACGCGAAGAACCUUACCAAGUCUUGACAUCCCUUGACAGACAUAGAAAUAUGUAAUCUCUUCGGAGCAAGGAGACAGGUGGUGCAUGGUUGUCGUCAGCUCGUGUCGUGAGAUGUUGGGUUAAGUCCCGCAACGAGCGCAACCCUUAUGGUCAGUUACUACGCAAGAGGACUCUGGCCAGACUGCCGUUGACAAAACGGAGGAAGGUGGGGAUGACGUCAAAUCAUCAUGCCCUUUAUGACUUGGGCUACACACGUACUACAAUGGCGUUAAACAAAGAGAAGCAAGACCGCGAGGUGGAGCAAAACUCAGAAACAACGUCCCAGUUCGGACUGCAGGCUGCAACUCGCCUGCACGAAGUCGGAAUUGCUAGUAAUCGUGGAUCAGCAUGCCACGGUGAAUACGUUCCCGGGCC
rnacentral:rRNA from 1 species